UUAAUUGAUUUACCUGAUCUUUCUCUCUCUCUCUCUCCCUUUCUUCCGAUUUCCCCUUCUUCUACGAUAUCCCCAUCUCUUCUGAUUGUGGCUGCCCAAAUCCGCGGCUGUGUGAGGUGACUACGGGGGCGGAGAGUUUGGGCUAGGCGAUGUACGGAGCUCACAUCAGGGCGAGUCGACAAUGGGGGUAAAGGUGAGGCACAUGCAAAGGCUGAUAAAGUCAAGGAGUUCUUAAAGGAUCCUAGCAAGUUCGCUGUUAUUUUUGCCCUAGUGGUUGCUGCCGCUGCAGCUGGAGCUGCCCCAGCUGCUUCCAAGGCUGAAGAAUCAAAAGAUGAAGAUAUGGGAUUCAAUUUGUUUGAUUAAGUUACAUGUUAAUUGUUUUAACCAUUUUAGGAUUUUGAUUUCGUUUUCUCUUAGUUGUAAAAAGAUUUCGUUUUUUUUCCUUUUAAUAAGAUUUAACAAUUUUAUAAGAAUGAUUUCGUUGGAUUAUUGAGUUAAUUUUUCCAGAAAAGAAAAAGAUAAGUCUAGAGAGAUGUGGAGCGAGAAACCCAAAGAGCUUUUAGCUAGACAAAUGUAGAGCUUUGGCUUCAACAUGGUUUGUGCUAGUAUUGAGGUAUUGAACAAAGGAAUGAAUGAAACGAAGGAAGUGUUCCUGCUUCAAGAAGAGAGAGAGAGUAAUAAAGUUAAACUUAGAGAGAGAAAGAAGAAGAAGAAUGCAAUUUUUUUCUGGUAUCAUUUUUAAGAAUUUGAUUUUUUUUAUUUUGAGAAAUUAUGUUGGAUU